GUGAUACGCCUGUUGGGUAGGGGAGCGUUGUGUAAGUCGAUGAAGGUGUAUUGAGAAGUAUGCUGGAGAUAUCACAAGUGCGAAUGCUGACAUAAGUAACGAUAAAACGAGUGAAAAACUCGUUCGCCGGAAGACCAAGGGUUCCUGUCCAACGUUAAUCGGGGCAGGGUGAGUCGGCCCCUAAGGCGAGGCUGAAAAGCGUAGUCGAUGGGAAACGGGUUAAUAUUCCCGUACUUGGUAAAGCUGCGAUGUGGGGACGGAGAAGGUUAGGUUAGCAGACUGUUGGAUGUCUGUUUAAGUUGGUAGGUGGGGAGUUUAGGCAAAUCCGGACUUCCAUAACACUGAGAGAUGAUGACGAGUUUCUACGGAAAUGAAGUAACUGAUACCACGCUUCCAGGAAAAGCCACUAAGCGAAAGGCUUUACUAAACCGUACUGAAAACCGACACAGGUGGUCAGGUAGAGAAUACUCAGGCGCUUGAGAGAACUCGGGUGAAGGAACUAGGCAAAAUAGCACCGUAACUUCGGGAGAAGGUGCGCUGGCGUAGGUUGUAAGAGUAUACCUCCGAAGGCUGAACCAGUCGAAGAUACCAGCUGGCUGCAACUGUUUAUUAAAAACACAGCACUCUGCAAACACGAAAGUGGACGUAUAGGGUGUGAUGCCUGCCCGGUGCUGGAAGGUUAAUUGAUGGUGUUAUCGAAAGAGAAGCUCCUGAUCGAAGCCCCAGUAAACGGCGGCCGUAACUAUAACGGUCCUAAGGUAGCGAAAUUCCUUGUCGGGUAAGUUCCGACCUGCACGAAUGGCAUAAUGAUGGCCAGGCUGUCUCCACCCGAGACUCAGUGAAAUUGAAAUCGCCGUGAAGAUGCGGUGUACCCGCGGCUAGACGGAAAGACCCCGUGAACCUUUACUAUAGCUUGACACUGAACAUUGAAUUUUGAUGUGUAGGAUAGGUGGGAGACUUAGAAGCAGGCACGCCAGUGCUUGUGGAGUCGUCCUUGAAAUACCACCCUUUAACGUUUGAUGUUCUAACGAAGAUUACGAAACGUGGUCUCGGACAGUGUCUGGUGGGUAGUUUGACUGGGGCGGUCUCCUCCCAAAGUGUAACGGAGGAGCACGAAGGUUUGCUAAUCACGGUCGGACAUCGUGAGGUUAGUGCAAUGGUAUAAGCAAGCUUAACUGCGAGACAGACAAGUCGAGCAGGUGCGAAAGCAGGUCAUAGUGAUCCGGUGGUUCUGAAUGGAAGGGCCAUCGCUCAACGGAUAAAAGGUACUCCGGGGAUAACAGGCUGAUACCGCCCAAGAGUUCAUAUCGACGGCGGUGUUUGGCACCUCGAUGUCGGCUCAUCACAUCCUGGGGCUGAAGUAGGUCCCAAGGGUAUGGCUGUUCGCCAUUUAAAGUGGUACGCGAGCUGGGUUUAGAACGUCGUGAGACAGUUCGGUCCCUAUCUGCCGUGGGCGUUGGAGAAUUGAGAGGGGCUGCUCCUAGUACGAGAGGACCGGAGUGGACGCAUCACUGGUGUACCAGUUGUCUCGCCAGAGGCAUUGCUGGGUAGCUAAAUGCGGAAGAGAUAAGUGCUGAAAGCAUCUAAGCACGAAACUCGCCUUAAGAUGAGUUCUCCCUAGCUAUAAGCUAGUAAGGGUUGUUGAAGACUACGACGUAGAUAGGUCUGGUGUGUAAGCGGUGUGAGCCGUUGAGCUAACAGAUACUAAUUGCCCGAGAGGCUUAACUAUACAACCUCAAGCGUU
rnacentral:rRNA from 1 species